rnacentral:rRNA from 1 species
AUUGAACGCUGGCGGCAGGCCUAACACAUGCAAGUCGAACGAGUGGCGGACGGGUGAGUAAUGUCUGGGAAACUGCCUGAUGGAGGGGGAUAACUGCUGGAAAGGGUAGACAAUACCGCAUACCAUCGGAUGUGCCGAGAUGGGAUUAGCUAGUAGUUGGGGUAACGGCUCACCUAGGCGACGAUCCCUAGCUGGUCUGAGAGGAUGACCAGCCACAUUGGAACUGAGACACGGUCCAGACUCCGACGGGAGGCAGCAGUGGGGAAUAUUGCACAAUGGGCGCAAGCCUGAUGCAGCCAUGCCGCGUGUAUGAAGAAGGCCUUCGGGUUGUAAAGUACUUUCAGCGGGGAGGCGUUACCCGCAGAAGAAGCACCGGCUAACUCCGUGCCAGCCGCCGCGGUAAUUC